AUGUUUCCUGAACACAAAAUGGCGACACGUGGUUAGCAUUCGUCGCCAACGAGAAAUUGGGGUCGGCCCGAAAGCUCUAGAAUGCACCCCUCUUCCUCCCCGGGGCCUUCCACCUCCGCGAGUUUUAUGACUUAAAAAAGCCCACAGGCUGGUCUGAAGAGGAAGACAAACAUAAAGAUGAAGUGCUUAAUUCAAGGUCACACAAUGUCGGGGAUGGACCUCCAGAUUUCCUUACUGACCUGCAUUAUCUUGUGGAUACCUGAGUGAAUUCCACACCACCCAUUUUAUAGAUGAAACCACUGAGACAUGGAGCAAUUGACUGAGUAGUCACUGCCCCACCCCUGCCUGGAGCCUCACACAUGACUCGCCUCCUCUCAGUGACCACAGGUUGGUUGAGGGGUUUAACAAGGCUAAGAAGGAAAACAAGCUCAGGGCUCCCACUGAUUGUACAUUAUGAGACGGAGUCUUGCUAUGUUGCCCAGGCUGGUCUUGAACUCCUCACCUCAAGCGAUCCUCCCGUCUUGGCCUCCCAAGUGUCAGGAUUACGGGCAUGUGCUAUCACACCCAACCUGAUACAUUGCCUUUAUAAAUUUUUUUUUCUUUAUUCUAAAAACCAGAAAAAACAAAACUGGAUACAUGUGCAGAACAUGCAGGUUUGUUACAUAGCUGUACGUGUGCCAUGGUGGUUUGCUGCACCUAUUGACCUAUCCUACCAAGUGUGUUGGGGACUUGAGAUGCGUACAUGAGUGUGAUGUUUCCUGCUGAAAGCACAGGUGAGACGUGGUCUUGUAACACAGUGGUUAAGAAUGUGACUUUGGAGCCAGCCUGCUAGGGGCUGAAUUCUGACUCAGCCAUUUACUAACUGUGUGACCUUAGGUCACAGAAUUUUCCACACUCCUUGACAGAGGUGCUUAACCCUUAUCCAUCAGCAUUCUCAGACAGCACCUCCGGUUAGGGACAGUAUCUGACCGUCCGACAUCCCUGCAGCCCCCAUGUGUCACACAGACUCAGCCUCAGGUAGAUGGUUUCCGUAGAUGGUGGCUUUCUUUGGACCCUUGACAUCAACCAGUUACUAUUUGGUCUAGGGGUCUCACCAACGCUGCUCAUCUAGCAGGGCCACACAUAACAAAUAGAAGCAGAGCAAGCCCUGGAACUCCUGCCUGACAGUGACACGACGACAGAAACAUCUUACCAGUCAGAGGACCAUGAGAAAUAGAUUCAAGGAGCAUUCCACGUGCAAGUGAGUCUUGGCCCCAUCUGCCUUUGGAUUUUAGCCGUGAACUGGAAGGUAUUGGAAAGAAGACCCUCAGAAAUAGCUUAAUCAAAAUCCCUGCGUCUGAACCAAGUGCCUUAUUUCUCUGUGGGCCUCAAGCUUCGCUGACAUCUGUGGAGCACACUGUCCUAACAGGAGUGCUGUCUGAUUUCCCAACGCUCUGCAAAACAAACAGCCUGGAAGGGUGGCUGGUGGAAGGUGGUUUUUAGAGAGAGACUUGUAGAUAACAGGAAAGUGAAGGCUGUAAGGAAGGUUGUAAUUAAACAGCACAUGGAAACACAAUCACAUUAUUGUCCCAUUCCAUAGGGAUAAUGAUGACCACUUCAGUGGGAAAAGGAGAGGUUUUAAGUCAUUAGGGACUAUGGGCCACCUUUUAGGAAGAUUUAUUUUCAAAGGUUAAAAUAGUGUUUUGGCAAUUCAAGUUUCAUUUUCAGAAAAUGUAAUUGAUGGGAACCUCAGUGACUCUGGAUGAAUAAGAUGCUGUUGAGUGGCUCUGACUUGGGCCAGCCGUGCUUCUCACAGGACCUUGGAGACCAAGGUCACUGUGAUCUCAGGUUCAGGGGGCAAGUCCUCUCCACACAGCCCUAGUUGGCCUCACAGCUGAAAAUGUCUCCCUUACUGUUGGACUCCUUUGUUCACCCACAUGAGUUUGUGAAUA
ensembl:lncRNA PCBP1-AS1 PCBP1 antisense RNA 1